GAAGCGCCUGGAAGAAGCCCCCUUGGUGACCAAGGCCUUCAGGGAGGCGCAGAUAAAGGAGAAGCUGGAGCGAGGUGGCUCUGAGGGUCCUGUUCCCCGACCGCUACGUCCUACAGGGCUGCUUCCGCCCCAGCGAGACAGUGGGGGACUUGCGAGACUUCGUGAGGAGCCACCUGGGGAACCCCGAGCUGUCAUUUUACCUGUUCGUCACCCCUCCAAAAACAGUCCUGGAUGACCACACGCAGACCCUCUUUCAGGCGAACCUCUUCCCGGCCGCUCUGGUGCACUUCGGAGCCGAGGAGCCGGCAGGUGAGUGUCAGUGGUUGGGGCCAGUGUCGGAGUCCAGCCAGCCUGUCCCUGGACCUCAGAGCCAGCUGCCCGGGAGGGCGUUCGGUCUGGGGCCUCCUUUGGGUCUGAGAGGGAGAUCUGCGGCCCCCAGUAACCACCUCCCCGAGAGAGGACUGGGACAGCCACCUGCUGGCCACCCCCUCCCAGAGCUGAGUGCUGGUGGGCAGAUGCUGGGUGGAUGGUGAGUGGGUCCCUCCUCAGAGGCUCAGGGUGAGCUUGGGCCUCCCUGCAGGUGUCUACCUGGAGCCUGGCCUGCUGGAGCAUGCCAUCUCCCCAUCUGCGGCCGACGUGCUGGUGGCCAGGUAAGUGCCGGUGGGUCUGGGGGCACCUCCCGUGGCGGCACUCACCACUCUGUGUCUUCGCCUCCCCACAGGUACAUGUCCAGGGCCGCCGGGUCCCCUUCCCCAUUGCCAGCCCCUGACCCUGCACCUAAGUCUGAGCCAGCUGCUGAGGAGGGGGCGCUGGUCCCCCCUGAGCCCAUCCCAGGGACGGCCCAGCCCGUGAAGAGGAGCCUGGGCAAGGUGCCCAAGUGGCUGAAGCUGCCGGGUACUGCGGCUGGGUGGAAGCCAGCAAGAGGUGAGAGCUGCCAGCCUGAGGUGCCCACUCCGCCAGCCACAGGACCACCUC
rnacentral:sRNA from 1 species